GAUGAACGCUGGCGGCGUGCCUAAUACAUGCAAGUCGAGCGAACAGACGAGGAGCUUGCUCCUCUGACGUUAGCGGCGGACGGGAGAGUAACACGUGGAUAACCUACCUAUAAGACUGGGAUAACUUCGGGAAACCGGAGCUAAUACCGGAUAACAUGUUGAACCUCAUUGUUCAACAGUUAAAUACGGUCUUUCUGUCACUUAUAGAUGGAUCCGCGCCGCAUUAGCUAGUUGGUAAGGUAACGGCUUACCAAGGCAACGAUGCGUACCCGACCUGAGAGGGAGGUCGGACACACUGGAACUGAGACACGGUACAGACUCCUGCGGGAGGCAGCAGUAGGGAAUCUUACGGAAUGGGGGAGAGCCUGACAGAGCAAAGCCGCGUGAGUGAAGAAGGUGUUCGGCUCGUAAAGCGCUGUUAUUAGGGGAGAACAAAUGUGUAAGUACCUGUGAAGGUAUUGACGGUACCGAGUGAGAAAGCCACGGCUAACUACGUG
rnacentral:rRNA from 1 species